rnacentral:rRNA from 1 species
GGUCCAAACUCCAAACGGGAGGCAGCAGUUGGGAAUCUUGGACAAUGGGGGAAACCCUGAUCCAGCCAUGCCGCGUGAGUGAUGAAGGCCUUCGGAUUGUAAAGCUCUUUCGACGGGGACGAUGAUGACGGUACCCGUAGAAGAAGCCCCGGCUAACUUCGUGCCAGCAGCCGCGGUAAUACGAAGGGGGCUAGCGUUGCUCGGAAUGACUGGGCGUAAAGGGCGCGUAGGCGGUUCGUACAGUCAGACGUGAAAUUCCCGGGCUCAACCUGUGGGCUGCGUUUGAUACGUGCGGGCUUGAGUUCGGAAGAGGGUCGUUGGA